GGCUUAUUCAGGAUUUGGCUGGAGCCUGUUAAAGAGGGCUUAAGUGAACUGUAUAAAUAGGUUGUUCUGAUACCAUGCAUGUAUUUUUAUAGCACUAAUACCUUUUACUCAAGCCAGAGCUACAACUUCAUAGAUAAUUUUCCUAUGACAUCAUGGUAGAAGAAGAGAAAGGAAAAAAAAAAAAAAAUCAAACCCAGUUCACCCAAGAUGAUUCACCUUGAUAUGAUGCUGGAAAAUCUGCCAAAUCUGAUGUGGCCAAUUCAAGAAUUAAGGUUUGGAGUGGGAGCCAAAUUCAAGAAUCAUCAGAGUUACACAAGAGGAAUCAAGGGAGAGUAACAUAGCUGAAUGACUUCAGUACUGAAUCCCAUCACACAACAUGUUGCUGGUUUAAGACUUUUUUUUAUAAAAGUCCAGGAGUAUGGCUUUCAUUUUCCACUGCACUUCUCUGGCUCUUCCUCUUUCAAAAAUAGCUUUCUUGAGGUUUAUUUUGUUUUGCUUUGCAUUGAAUAGAAUGUCUACAGUAUGAAAAUUGUCUUGGGUUGAGUGAACCCCAGUUGCUAAAAUGAAUUGCAUGACAGUGUAUAUGUAUGUGAGCCAUGCCAUUGCCACCUAAAAAUUUGAAUCUUCUGCUGGAAAGCCACAUGGAAGAGAAAGGAUGCAGUCUGGCUGACUAUAAAGACCAAUUUCCUGUCCCAUGGGGGCUCUGAGAAAGCAAGAGCAUGGUGAAUUCUGCAGCUGCCGUGAAUCACCACCAGACUGCAGCUGUGUGAGUGACCUCAGGGGAGACCACAGAGCUGAGCUCAGCUGGAACUGCAGAACAGAAUCACUAUUUUAAGCUUCUAAGAACUGGGAGUCGAUAUUUCAAAAUACAUUAAAAUACUU